UUAUUACCCAUACAACAGUAUUUAUUUAAAAGGGUGGUGCGGGUUUAUCGUCCACGCCUCUACUUCUAUUUAAAUGUAUGGAGCAGAAUUAGUGCCCAUACAAGCACCAUUUACUUUACCGCACAUUUAAUUUUAUUUAAAGUAUGGUGCGGGAUUAACGUCCAUACAGCAAACAAUUUAAUUUAUGAAUUUAAUUUACCGCACAUUUACAUUUAUUUAAAAGGGUGGUGCGGGUUUAUUGUCCACGCCUUUACUUUUAUUUAAAUGUAUGGAGCAGAAUUAGUGCCCAUACAAGCACCAUUUACUUUACCGCACAUUUAAUUUUAUUUAAAGUAUGGUGUGGGAUUAACGUCCAUACAGCAAACAAUUUAAUUUAUGAAUUUAAUUUACCGCACAUUUACAUUUAUUUAAAAGGGUGGUGCGGGUUUAUCGUCCACGCCUUUACUUUUAUUUAAAUGUAUGGAGCAGAAUUAGUGCCCAUACAAGCACCAUUUACUUUACCGCACAUUUAAUUUUAUUUAAAGUAUGGUGCGGGAUUAACGUCCAUACAGCAAACAAUUUAAUUUAUGAAUUUAAUUUACCGCACAUUUACAUUUAUUUAAAAGGGUGGUGCGGGUUUAUCGUCCACGCCUUUACUUUUAUUUAAAUGUAUGGAGCAGAAUUAAUGCCCAUACAAGCACCUUAACUUUAUGAAUUUAAUUUACCGCACAUUUACAUUUAUUUAAAGUGUGAUGCGGGUUUAUCGUCCAUACCAGUAAUUUAUUUACCAGCAAUUUAUUUUAUGGAUUAAAUGUGCUGUAUGAUGAGUUUUUACAGUAUGCAGAUCAGGACCAGAAGUUCCUUGAUCCUCAUCAUACAAUUACAUCAGGACUUGAAGAUCCUUGAUGAUGAUGUUAAUAUGAGAGCUGGCAGU
rnacentral:lncRNA from 1 species